UCCAUUUGUCCGCACUGUCUGAAUGGUUGCAGAUUAAUGUAGUUUCAUCUAGGGGACAGUUGAGCCUCAAUGUUACAUUUUUGAUCAUCAGGGGUCUCUGAAGUAUGAAGAGGAAGAGCUGAGAGGAUGGAAAACAAGGAAGAGGGAAGACCCAACAGUCCCUGAGAAGCCACACUGGUAUCUCCAAGGACAGGAUGAAGCUGGAGUGUACAGAGAUGCUGCUAUAUUAUAAUCCUGAGAUCCAGAUCAUGUUCUGGGAACCAAGAUGUUGAAGUUUGAAUUCAAUAAAAUCUGG